GACAGCUGAGCAGCUGGAGCUAAGCAAAGCAGGGCAGCCAGCAGGACCUGAAAAGGUUUCAAAGUCUGCUCGGAACAAAAAGCUGAGUGUCUCGUUUUGUUGUUUUCGCAGGAGAAAAAGAGAGCGGCCGCACUGAGAGAAAGCCGAGAGCUCUUUUGUUCGUCCCCGAGCCAUCCCGGGAAUGGGCUGAAUUUGUUGUUUCAACGUUUUCUCAUCCAUCUGUUGGAAAAUGGGUGAGCUGGUCCCUGAUGGGCUGAGAGAUGGCCCUGUCCUGGGAAUUCCCUACCAGCUGUGUUCCGUGGGAAACUCGGACGCACUGCAGCAUCUCAACACAGCACGACUGGUCUGGACCAGCGAGGACAAAGCUGGGAAGCAGCCAGCAGCCCUUCAGGAGUUGGGAGAGGACAACAGCAGGGCAGGAUAGCAAACUGGGAACCUUGCAUCGUGCCCCAUGCGCUGCCUCCCUACCUGAUCCCUGCCACUGCUCCCAGUGCCACCACCUGCAACAGCUGCGGGGCUGGGAAACUCCACUUGCCCGGAGCCUGAUAAAUUAUACCUUAGUCCUGAAGGGGCUCGGGCUGUUUUUUUUUUUUUGCAAACACAUGCAGCACAAAAGCUGCCUUUCUCCCUCUCAUUUGACUUUGUUUUCUCUCCCUCCUCAUCUGCUUUCAGCCAAAUGGGUGAAUAGCUUCAGUAUAUACUGCAGGAGGAUAAAGCCAAGGCUGGAGCAGUGGGAAGGAUGCAGAACAGCAGUGCCCUGUGCCCGCUGCCUUCCGGAGGGGUGGGCACUGUUUGCCACCCUCGCUCUGUAACGCAGCCUCCAUCGCCUUGCUGAACCCUUUGAGACAGCAGCACUGAAAGAAAAUAUUUGUGCUCUGGCUAGCACAUGUGCACGCUUCCUGCUCUUGAAAUCCCUAAUUAAGCUUGUUUUUUAUUUUUUUUUCUUGUUGUUUAGAAAAUCCCUCUCUUUUUGGACAGGGAUGUUUUCUUCUAAGCCAUCAGGGAUCACCGUGUGAAGGAACGGAGGGGGAUGUCCCAUCCCUUGUCUGCUUUCUGCAGCCUCUGGGGUUAUUUUGGAGAUUCUCUCAUUUACUGGGUGGUUCAGCUGAGUCCAACCUCUCCUUGGGCUAAAAUCAUAUCCUGUCAGUCAGCUGGUAAUUAGAAAGCACCAAAAAGCCAGUGGUGCUUAAGGCAGUGCUGGGGUAACCAAGGCAGUUUCUACUUCUGUGGAUAAAGGACCGAGUUUGGAAGCUGUAGAUGUUUCCACUGAAAUCAGAUUUUGGUUUAAAAAGGGGAAGGAAGGUAACAUGGGGUGAAAAAUGCCUCCCAGGAGCGCAGCAGCACUACAGCACUGCUGCAGCCUGUGGGUUCACCCAGCUCUUACUGGUGCUGCGCUUAGAGAUGGCCCCUGCAUACCUAAGCGAGGUGACACAGAGUGUUAUCACCCAUCUCUGGCUGCAUGCUUGUGGCCUUGGAGAUGCACACUGCACUCCCUGGAGGUAGGACACCAGCAGGUAGUCUUUCUGCAGACACCUUAUCUUAUCCCAGUGAGACAAAGGAAGGCAGAGAGCAUUCUGCAGACUGCCCAGCCUGGCUGAAACACUCUGUUCCCUGAUAAGCUUGCAAGGUUGAUGGGGUAACACAGGAGAUGCUAUCCUGCUGGGCUGUGAUGGAGAAAACAAGCAGCCCUGGUCUAAUAGGAAUCACUGUUGUUCGGUGUUCUCCCUAAUGUGCCUGUUAGGAAUAGGAUCGGUGCAGCAAGGACAGCAAACAUCAUGAGGCACACAUACACAGAGUCUCCAUAGGAAAGCAAGGAUACCCUCGGGGAGGUCUGGGAGGCUGCAGUCCUGCAGAUGGAUGCUGAAGCUGCAGGCAUCCUGGAGGAGCCUCCCAGCUGGUGGAGGGCAGAAACCUCUGCUUGUCUGGCUCAGAGAUAAGCAGGCUUCAAGCAAAACAGCAGGGAGGAUAAGCCAGGGGAGCAUGGACAGAGUAAGCUGCAGCCCAGACAUCAAGGACGAGCAGCCUGGUUUCCAGCAAGCCAGACUGGGAGUUACUCCCCUGUGUGCACAAGGACGGCUGUCUCCAGGCUCAGCAGUGCCACAGUGUGCCACUCAGCUCUGCACCAAGCUAAUGGCACACACCCUGACCCUGCACAUGACCAUCAGAGCAGAGCUGCUGGGCAUGCAGCUGCCAGUAAUGGGCUGGCUGUGUCUGGGAGGAAGCUGAAAGCAGUAAUUAGCUAAUAUUGGCAAAAAUAUCAGCUCAGAAAAUGCAAGAAAAUGAUGCAACGAUGUUACCUUUAUCACUGAGCUUUUCUUAUAUUAAAAAAGUAAUAAAAAGGGUCUGCAAUGUGUUCCUUGAAACGUCGGCAGCCCCUGAAAGUGGAUCUGCAGCAGUUAGUUGUGCUUUAGAUCAAUGGUCGAGAAGGACUUGGGAGGUACUGAAGUUCUCCAGGAAAAGAUCAAGUUGCAACAGUGUCAAAUGUAACCUCAACGUGCAAGUGUGAAAUAUCUCCGAAAUAUAAAGUAACCACUUCAUUCCAACUUCCGCUGGUUUUCCUGUCUGCAGAUCAAGCCACAUGUAACUGGUAGACAUGGAAGACGUGAAACGACAGCGGACAAUCCCUUCAGUGGCUGAGACCUCAACUAAAUGGACGGAAGCUGGACUAAGCAACAGUGUAGCCCAUAAAAGAGUCCCACAUCCCCCUGCUCCGUCCAUCCCUUCUGCACUUCUCAUCAGCAUAGGCAUUCUCCUACCAUGCCGGUCGCACCUGGGGAUCUUGCCCAGCAUCAGGGCUUUGUGCUGCUGUUAAACUGUUUGUAAGUAGGCAUGGAAGGAGGCAAGAAGGUGAAGGGAUUGAUCCAGGUGUGCUGAGCUGGGCCCAGGAUCCAGAAUGAUUCCUCACAUUCCUAUGGUAACAGUCUGGUUUACUGAGAGAGCUGGAACACGCUCAGAUCUCUUCAGUGUUUCAUACACCUAAUAUAUACCUAGCCUCCUCACAGCAGGCUACUGCACAGACUUCUCCCCCAGGUAGGAUGCGCUCUUUCCAGUCUUCUUUAGAGUUUCCAAUAGGGUGUCAACAUUGUGCUCUGACUCAAUGUAUACUUUCUUGUUGGGCAGGUCAAUAUCAAACUGGACACCUGGAAGGUAAGGAAAAACAUUUUGCUUAGUUAGAAGCAACCAAAUGGUAUGAGAGCAGGGAAAAGCUCACUUUCAUGCAUUUGUGCUCCCAAAGCCACCAAGUCAAUCAUACAUGCCUCUUGUCAGCAAACCUCUGUUCUGUGACCAGCCAGUAUAACCAGAAUGGGGUCCCACCAGCACUGGUACAAAGGUACAGAUGUGCAUUAGGCACCGUAGCUUCUGGGGGGCCUUAUUAGGCUAGCACAAUCACAAGCAUUAACCAGAAUAAGCAGAGUUUAAACUAACCACUAUAAUAUCCAGUCAGCUCACUCUGUGCUGAGGUUCGGCAUGGAUGGGCACUAAUGAAGGAGAUGGUGUAGAAGUUAAGAUGGGGUUGGGGCACGUUUUAUCAGUGGCAGUACCAGCUAGCAGCUGUAAGCAGGAAGAAGACAGAGACACCUUCCAUGUGGAUAUCCUACUGGUAAAUAAAGGUCAGCCACUCUCAAACCA